CAGUCGCCACGGGAAUACAGAGGGUGCAAGCGUUAAUCGGAAUUACUGGGCGUAAAGCGCGCGUAGGUGGUUUGUUAAGUUGAAUGUGAAAUCCCCGGGCUCAACCUGGGAACUGCAUCCAAAACUGGCAAGCUAGAGUACGGUAGAGGGUGGUGGAAUUUCCUGUGUAGCGGUGAAAUGCGUAGAUAUAGGAAGGAACACCAGUGGCGAAGGCGACCACCUGGACUGAUACUGACACUGAGGUGCGAAAGCGUGGGGAGCAAACAGGAUUAGAUACCCGAGUAGUCCCUGUCUCUUAUAA
rnacentral:rRNA from 1 species